GGCGGACGGGUGAGUAAUGUAUAGGAACUUGCCUAUAGUGGGGGACAACGUGUGGAAACGCACGCUAAUACCGCAUACGCUCUACGGAGGAAAGCGGGGGAUCUUCGGACCUCGUGCUAUAGAUGGGCCUAUAUGGAUAGCUAGUUGGUAAGGUAAAGGCUUACCAAGGCGACGAUCCAUAGCUGGUUUGAGAGAAUGAUCAGCCACACUGGGACUGAGACACGGCCCAG
rnacentral:rRNA from 1 species